rnacentral:lncRNA from 1 species
CGCGCUCGAGGUCCGGCGCGGUCCUUCUCGGCUAGGCGGCGGCGGCGCGGGAGCCGUGGUCCGGGCUCUGGCCGCGGCGCCUGGGGGAGACAGCGGUUCCGGGCCCAGGGCUCGGGCUCCGGACGUGGGUCUGGGUCCGUGCGUGCGUGUGAGCGAGCGUGUCAGUCACGGCCUCCGCCUCAGCAUCGCCCACGGGGAGUCGAAGCGGAGAGGCCGCGGGUCAAGCACGGCGGGCGGCCAUACUGGAAACGGGCACUGGCGGCGGGCUCUGGGCGCUGGCCUGCGAGGGGCGGGGCGCGGCCCUGGGCACCGCCCCCGCCGUGCCGUCACCUGAGCAGCCCGCCGGUCUGUCUGUCCGCCCCGGAGUUCAGUCCGAACUCCUCGUCCUGCUCUCAGAGGCCCACGGCUCCAAACGCCAGACGGGACGGGUCAACACAAAUCCAACCUGUCACCGGCCACACCCCCGCUUCUCAGCCGUUUCGAGAAUACCCGGGACCUGUUUCAGUUUCCCGGUGGCGCUGCCUUGGGGACGGGGACCUGCACUGUUCAUCUUUGCACUCUUGAAGAUACAGCACUCUGGAACGCUUCGUGGAAUUCUCCUGCACUUGGAUUGUGCCGAGUUUGCUGUGGGAAAGCCCUUUGCUGUGUGUGUGUGUGUAAAGUGGCAGUGGCUGACUUUCUCCAACUUGGAAUAAUUCUUAAUACAUUUUAUUCACCUGUUUCCUUCAAGGCCCAGCACAAAUCAGAAAGCCACCUGAUUUGGGCCUCUUAGAGGCCCUUUUCAUCCUAGGUCAAGGUUCUUCUUGGGCGUGGCUGUUCUCUACAAACUUUCUCUUUAAUCAAUUAGUAACUUCCCCUCACUCCUAAUUUAGUAACUCUUUUAGUAACUUCCCCUAACUACAGAGCCGUUCACUUAGGCUGAGCUGGAUUUGUCGAGUGAAUGUUGUACUAAAGCUGAGUCCACCGCUAAUACGUCCUGAAACAAACUACGUGGGAAAAAUAAAAUUUCAAGAAGCUAUACA